UGAGGAAUAUUGGUCAAUGGGCGUAAGCCUGAACCAGCCAAGUCGCGUGAGGGAAGACGGCCCUAUGGGUUGUAAACCUCUUUUGUCGGGGAGCAAAGCCGCCCACGUGUGGGCGGAAGGAGAGUACCCGAAGAAAAAAGCAUCGGCUAACUCCGUGCCAGCAGCCGCGGUAAUACGGAGGAUGCGAGCGUUAUCCGGAUUUAUUGGGUUUAAAGGGUGCGUAGGCGGCAUGGUAAGUCAGCGGUCAAAUCGAGGGGCUCAACCCCUUUCCGCCGUUGAAACUGCCGUGCUUGAGUGGGCGAGAAGUAUGCGGAAUGCGUGGUGUAGCGGUGAAAUGCAUAGAUAUCACGCAGAACUCCGAUUGCGAAGGCAGCAUACCGGCGCCCGACUGACGCUGAGGCACGAAAGCGUGGGGAUCGAACAGGAUUAGAUACC
rnacentral:rRNA from 1 species